CGUAUAUUAAGUUGUUGCAGUUAAAAAGCUCGUAGUUGAACCUUGGGCCUGGCUGGCCGGUCCGCCUCACCGCGUGUACUGGUCCGGCCGGGCCUUUCCUUCUGGGGAACCUCAUGCCCUUCACUGGGCGUGCUGGGGAACCAGGACUUUUACUUUGAAAAAAUUAGAGUGUUCAAAGCAGGCCUUUGCUCGAAUACAUUAGCAUGGAAUAAUAGAAUAGGACGUGUGGUUCUAUUUUGUUGGUUUCUAGGACCGCCGUAAUGAUUAAUAGGGAUAGUCGGGGGCAUCAGUAUUCAAGCGUCAGAGGUGAAAUUCUUGGAUUGCUUG
rnacentral:rRNA from 1 species